rnacentral:rRNA from 1 species
GUAGUCUGCAACCCGACUACAUGAAGCUGGAAUCGCUAGUAAUCGCGGAUCAGAAUGCCGCGGUGAAUACGUUCCCGGGUCUUGUACACACCGCCCGUCACACCAUGGGAGGUUGGGGGCCCCCCGAAGUUGCCUAAGAAAUAAGGUACCUAAGGCGAAACCAAUGACUGGGGUGAAGUCGUAACAAGGUAAC